GAUUACCGAUGUGAACGGAGUAUAAUAUACGCAAGGUAAAAAUACACCCCUCUUCAUCACCACGAGCCAUAUUCUUGUCACCGGAUAUAACCAACCGGAUUUUAGCGUAGGUCGGUUUACGUCAUCGUCGUCAAAACGAUCGAGUUUGGUCUCGUCACUGGGCUGACGUAAAUCCCGUAAACAGAUUUGCAAUUACGGUAACAAGAGAAGAUAGCAGGGAGGAACAAAGGUAAAGGCCAAAAACUGAAAUGUGUAUUUCACGAAGAAGAAACAAUAUUUCAUCAAUUCAAAGCUUGGCAAAUAUUACG